rnacentral:lncRNA from 10 species
GCACUUGCUCUCGGCCUGCAGGGAGCGCAGCAGGAACUCGAAGGAGAACCAGGCCACGCACACGGUCUCCAGCACGAACAGGCCCAGUUCCUGUUGGAAAAACCCAGAAAACCAGCAAGAUUUCAUGGUGAUCACUUCGGGCUUGAGAGCGGAUGCGCUUAGCUGACCCAGGAAACUGGUGAAAAUAAUGUUAAAACCCCUGACCUUUUAAAGCCUUGGGAAAUGGUCUUAAGAGCAAACAGCAAACGAAGAAACAUCUAUUUAUAUGUGAAAAUUCUGGAAGAAAGGUGAGCAUUUGUGGUAUCUGUGUCAAGACUGCAUCCUCCUUCUCAGCUUGGCCAGGGGGAGACGCCACGUGGAAUGGCUGCAGCCACGAACACAGACCCCCACCCCCACCUCCACCCCACCCACAGCUCCCAGUCAGGAGGGCUUCUUCCCUAGAAAGGGCUGACAUCAGCAUCUCACAUUCCGCCCUCAGCUCCUGGGGCUACGUCCUUGGGGAGUCCGGUGGAGGGGUGGGGCUCCCUCCUCCUGCCCAGUCCCCACUCUCGUGGGUGGGAGGCUGGCCUUGGGUGUGGCACACUGAGAAGGCAGGGCCUGACUGCCCUUGCUGCAGUGAUUCCAGGCCAGGAGAGGCCAAUGGGGUCUCAGGGUGCUAUCAAGCUCUCAGCUCCUAGAGAGGGAGGGUGUCAUUCACACUGAGGCUCGCAGCUGUCCCCAUCCCCCAAAUCCCUGGCUCAGAGAUUCCUGCCUGGAGGGAGAUGAAGGAAGUAAUCUCUUCUCAAAGGAACUGACUUCCUUUGCAAUGGAACAUGAAGAAGUUUACACCGAAGGGCACUCUCAACGCUAUUGGAGGUGGUGGUGAAGGGAAUUAGGAUUCAUGCGUGUGCUGACCACGUAGCCUAGACUGCACGCUGGCUAAGGUGCCGGGGAAUGAGGGGAGAAGACAGCUGGCAGGAGCCCUCCUGGGGUCAGAGCAAUGUCAGGCACUCUCAGAAAGCAAUGAGAAGGAGCUGCGAUAUGAGCAGGUUGUAAAGGAAUAACAGAGCUUUCAGCUGGCUGCUAGGAGUUUAACUACUGGGUGUGGUCAGUGAGACAGAGAAGAGGUUGCUCCCCAAGCCCUGUCAUCCCAGGGUGACGGUGGCACACUGGUGCUUCGACACCGAGACUGUUGCUGGGGAGGAAGAGGGGCACACAGGCAUCACAACAGUAAGCCAGCCAGUCACCAAAGACUAAACCAGUGAAUAACAGGCCCAGGAUGGGGACUACCAAAAGGGCUAGAAUAUCUUGUCUAAAAUGUCCAGUUUCUAACAAAGAAUGACAGGGUAUGUGGAGGAGGAGGAGGGAAGGAAGAAAAAGAAAAAGAAGGAAAGUAUGACUCAUACAUUAGGAAGAAAGCAACAAAAACUGCUGUGAGAGUGACCAAAUGUCAAAUUUAACUGAAUGAGAUUUCAAAGCAGCCACUAUCAAUAUGUUCACAAAACUAAAGGACGCAUAAAUGAACAUGCCACAAAUAGAGGCUGUUGGUAAAGAGAUGGACAUUUAAAAAAAUACCCAAACGGAAAUUCUGGAAUUGAAAAGUGCAAUAAUUGAAAUAAAAUAAUUUAAAAAUCACUAGAAAAGCUUAAAAGUAGAUUUUAACUGGCAGAGAAAAGAAUUAGUAAACAUGAAGAGUUUGACAGGAAUUAUGCUGAAGAAUAGAGAGAAAAAGAAUAAACCAAACAGCGCUUUAGGAAGUGUGGGACACCGUUAUAUGCACCAAUAUAUGCAUAAUGGGAAUACCCAAGGAGAGGAGAGAAGGGAAAAGAAAAACUAUGCAGAGAGAUAAUGCUGAAAAAAAAAACAAUUUUUUAAAAACAAUAACCUACAUAUCCAGGAAGCUCAAUGAACUCCCAGCAGGAUAAACACAGAGGCCCGCAGGUGGACACAUCAUAAUACAAGUAACGAAGGUCAAAGACAAGGAAAAAGUAUUGAAGCAGCAAGAGCAAAAUGAAGAUCACUUACAAGGGAAGUUCACAAAUAAACGGCUGACUUACCAGCAGAAACACUGCAAGCCAUAAGGCAGUGGGAUAGCACAUCCAAAGUGCUCAAAGGAAAAAAACCCUGCCAAUCAAGAAUCCUAUAUCCAGCAAAGUUACUGCUGAAAAAUGAAAGUAAAAAAUAAACACUUUCCCAGGUAAACAAAAAUAGAGAGAAUUCACUGCUAGCAGACCUGCCUCACAAGAAAUACUAAAGAAAGUUCUUCAGGCUGAAAGCAAGUGAACCCAGAUGAUAAUCUGGAUCGACACAAAAAGUGUUAGUAAAGGUAAUUAUGUAAUUAGAAAAGACACUAUAAAUGAAUUUUUUAACGGAUUUGAACAGCAACUGUAUAAAAAUAAGAUGUAUAUAACGUAUUAAGCUUGCAUCAUAUAGAAAUGUAAUAUAUGUGCAAUGUAUUUGCCAAUAAAAGCACAAAGGAGGUGUGUGGGAGCAAAAGUGUAAUGGUCUAAGGAAAUGACAGUGAAGCAAAAGCAACAAUUGUAACAAUGUGUAUUACAACAAUCGCACCAAAAGGGAGAAAAGUGAAUACAGCUCUAUAGGCAUAAUAUCUCCAUCUCACUGGAAUUACGCACAAACCUGAAGUAGGUUCUGAUUAUUUGUGGUAAACUCCAGAGCAACCACUAAAAGAAAGAACUAAAAAAAAAAAAAACUUUAAAAUAUCAUUAGUGGGCUGGGUGUGGUGGCUCAUGCCUGUCAUCCCAGCACUUUGGGAGGCCAAGGCAGAUGGAUCACCUGAGGUCAGGGGUUCUACACCAGCCUGGCCAACACGGCAAAACCCUGUCUCUACUAAAAAUACAAAAAUUAGCUGGGUGUGGUGGCAUGCGCCUAUAAUCCCAGCUACUUGGGAAGCUGAGGCAGGAGAAUUGCUUGAACCCAGGAUGUGGAGGCUGCAGUGAGCAGAGAUUGUGCCACUGCACUCCAACCUGGGCAACACAGUGAGACUCCAUCUCAAAAAAAAAUACAUAUAUAUAUCUAAUUAGUGGAAUUAAAAUGCUCCAUUAGAAAAUAUUCACCCCAUGCAAAAGAAAGCAGUUAAGGAAGGAUACAGAAACAACGUGCUCCGUGAGGUGCAUGAAACAGAAAAUAAGAUGUGGCAGACACAGACCCAACUAUAUCAAUCAAAACAGUAGAUGUGAAUGGAGUGAACAACCCAAUGAAAAGCAGACACAGAUCCAACUAUAUAAAUCAUAACAUUAGAUGGGAAUGGAGUGAACAACCCAAUCAAAAGCAGACACAGACUCAACUAUAUCAAUCGUAACAUUAGAUGUGAAUGGAGUGAACAACCCAAUCAAUAGCAGACACAGACUCAACUAUAUCAAUCGUUAAGAAUGAAGAACCCGAUCAAAAGCAGACACAGACCCAACUAUAUCAAUCAUAACAUUAGAUGUGAAUGAAGUGAACAAUCAAAAGCAGACACAAACCCAACUAUAUCAAUCGUUAUUAAUGGCAUGAACAACCCAAUCAAAGGCAGACACAGACCCAACUAUAUCAAUCGUUGUGAAUGGAGUGAAGAACCCAAUCAAAAGCAGACACAGACCCAACUAUAUCAAUCGUUAUUAAUGGCAUGAACAACCCAAUGAAAAGCAGACACAGACCCAACUAUAUCAAUCAUUUUGAAUGGAGUGAACAACCCAAUCAAAAGCAGACACAGACCCAACUAUAUCAAAUCGUUAUCAAUGGUGUGAACAACCCCAUCAAAAGCAGACACAGACCCAACUAUACCAAUCGUAACAUUAGCUGUGAAUGGAGUGAACAACCCAGUCAAAAGCGGCCACAGACCCAACUAUAUCAAUUGUUAUGAAUGGCUUGAACAACCCAAUUAAAAGCAGACACAGACCCAACUAUAUCAAUUGUACCAUUAGAUGUGAAUGGAGUGAACAACCCAAUCAAAAGGCAGACUGGGUUUUAAAAAAUAGUUGAACUAUAUGUUGUCUACAGGAGACACACUUUAGAUUCAAAUACAGAAAUAGAUACAAUGUAACAAGAUAGGAAAAGAUAUAUCAUCCAAACAGCAACCACAGGAAAGCUGGAAUGACUGUACUAAUAGACAAAGUAGACGUUAAAACAAAAAAUAUUAUUAGAGAUAAUAUGUAAUGAUCAACAGGUCAAUCCAUCAAGAAGAUAUAACAAGUAAAAUGUAUGCACCAAUAAUACAGCAAUAAGUAAAUGAAGCAAAAACUGAACACAAACAGAAAUUGAGAAAGAGACAUUCCAUAAUAAUAGUUGGAGACUUCAAUACCGCACUGUGUUGUUUUUUUUUUUUUUUUUUAGACGGAGUCUUGCUCUGUCAUCCAGGCUGGAGUGCAGUGUUGCGAUCUCGACUCACUGCAACCUCUGCCUCCCAGGUUCAAGUGAUUCUCCUGCCUCAGCCUCCUGAGUAGCUGGGACUACAGGCUUGCACCACUGUGCCCAGCUAAUUAAUACUGCACUUUCAAUAAUGGGUAGAACAAGUACACAGGAGAGUCAAGGAAACAGAAGGUGUGAACACCACCAUAAGCCAAAUGGACCUCACAGACAUCCGUAGAACAUGGCACCGGACAACUCAAUAUACAUUUUUUCAAUGUGCACACGGAACAGACUCCAGAACAGGACAUAUACCAGGCCAUAGAACCAACCUCAAUACAUUUAAAAGGAUAGAAAUAAUACAAAUAUACUCUCCAUCCACAAUAGAAUAUUAGAAAUUAAUAACAGGAGAAAAAUUGGGAACCUCACAAAUAUGUGGAAAUUAAACAUAUUCCUAGAUAAUCAAAGAGGCCAACCAAGAAAUCAG